GACGAACGCUGGCGGCGUGCUUAACACAUGCAAGUCGAACGGAAAGGCCCUGCUUUUGUGUGGUGCUCGAGUGGCGAACGGGUGAGUAACACGUGAGUAACCUGCCCUUUACUUUGGGAUAACUUCAGGAAACUGGGGCUAAUACCGGAUAGGAGCUCCUGCUGCAUGGUGUGGGUUGGAAAGUUUCGGCGGUUGGGGAUGGACUCGCGGCUUAUCAGCUUGUUGGUGGGGUAGUGGCUUACCAAGGCUUUGACGGGUAGCCGGCAUGGGAGGGUGAACGGCGACAUUGGGACUGAGGUAGGCACCAGACUCCUACGGGAGGCAGCAGUGGGGAAUAUUGCACAAUGGGCGGAAGCCUGAUGCAGCAACGCCGCGUGCGGGAUGACGGCCUAGGGGUUGUAAACCGCUUUAGCCUGUGACGAAGCGUGAGUGACGGUAAUGGGUAAAGAAGCACCGGCUAACUACGUG
rnacentral:rRNA from 1 species